AUUGAACGCUGGCGACAGGCCUAACACAUGCAAGUCGAGCGGAUGAAGGGAGCUUGCUCCUGGAUUCAGCGGCGGACGGGUGAGUAAUGCCUAGGAAUCUGCCUGGUAGUGGGGGAUAACGUCCGGAAACGGGCGCUAAUACCGCAUACGUCCUGAGGGAGAAAGUGGGGGAUCUUCGGACCUCACGCUAUCAGAUGAGCCUAGGUCGGAUUAGCUAGUUGGUGGGGUAAAGGCCUACCAAGGCGACGAUCCGUAACUGGUCUGAGAGGAUGAUCAGUCACACUGGAACUGAGACACGGUCCAGACUCCUACGGGAGGCAGCAGUGGGGAAUAUUGGACAAUGGGCGAAAGCCUGAUCCAGCCAUGCCGCGUGUGUGAAGAAGGUCUUCGGAUUGUAAAGCACCUUAAGUUGGGAGGAAGGGCAGUAAGUUAAUACCUUGCUGUUUUGACGUUACCAACAGAAUAAGCACCGGCUAACUUCGUG
rnacentral:rRNA from 1 species